AAUUAUUUACUUGCCGAAGUCCUUCGGUUAAGUUCUAUUGGACUCCUGCGAUUUUAGCAGUGAGAGGGUAGCAUAACAGUCCGUGAUGCCCUUUAGAUGCUCUGGGCUGCACGCGUGCUACAAUGUUAGGAUCAAUAGGACUGCGAGCUGAGAGGGUGCGCUACUCUUAUAAUCCCUAACGUAGUUGGGAUUGACGUUUGUAAUCAGCGUCAUGAACCAGGAAUCCCUUGUAAAUGUGUGUCAACAACGCACGUUGAAUACGUCCCUGCCCUUUGUACACACCGCCCGUCGCUCCUACCGAUUGGAUGACUCGGUGAAAUCACCGGAUGCUUACGAGCAGAAAGUGAUUAAAUCACGUUAUCUAGAGGAAGGAGAAGUCGUAACAAGGUAACGGUAGGUGAACCUGCCGUUGGAUCAGUU
rnacentral:ncRNA from 1 species